UUACCGAGUUUACAACUCCCAAACCCCUGUGAACAUACCUAUUUGUUGCCUCGGCGGUGCCUGUUCCGACAGCCCGCCAGAGGACCCCAAACCCUGAUUACAUUUAAGAAGUCUUCUGAGUAAACCGAUUAAAUAAAUCAAAACUUUCAACAACGGAUCUCUUGGUUCUGGCAUCGAUGAAGAACGCAGCGAAAUGCGAUAAGUAAUGUGAAUUGCAGAAUUCAGUGAAUCAUCGAAUCUUUGAACGCACAUUGCGCCCGCUAGUAUUCUGGCGGGCAUGCCUGUCCGAGCGUCAUUUCAACCCUCAAGCCCCCGGGCUUGGUGUUGGGGAUCGGCGAGCCUCCGCGCCCGCCGUCCCCUAAAUCUAGUGGCGGUCUCGCUGUAGCUUCCUCUGCGUAGUAGCACACCUCGCACUGGGAAACAGCGCGGCCACGCCGUUAAACCCCCAACUUCUGAACGUUUGACCUCGGAUCAGGUAGGAAUACCCGCUGAACUUAAGCAUAUCAAUAAGCGGAGG
rnacentral:rRNA from 1 species